AGAGUUUGAUCAUGGCUCAGAACGAACGCUGGCGGCGUGCUUAACACAUGCAAGUCGCGUGCGCAGUUGCCGUAGCAAUACGGUGAUGGGCGCACGGCGCACGGGUGCGUAACACGUGGGCAAUCUGCCCUUUGAUGGGGAAUAACCCGCCGAAAGGCGGGCUAAUUCCGCAUAAGAUUCUUUGGACCUCGGUCUGAAGAUUGAAAGCAGCAAUGCGUCGAAGGAGGAGCCCGCGCCCGAUUAGCUAGUUGGUGAGGUAAUGGCUCACCAAGGCUUUGAUCGGUAGCUGGUCUGAGAGGAUGAUCAGCCACACUGGAACUGAGACACGGUCCAGACUCCUACGGGAGGCAGCAGUGGGGAGUCUUGCACAAUGGGCGAAAGCCUGAUGCAGCGACGCCGCGUGGGGGAUGAAGCAUUUCGGUGUGUAAACCCCUUUCGACUGGGAAGAAUACCUCGCAAGAGGGGUGACGGUACCAGUAGAAGAAGCCCCGGCUAACUACGUGCCAGCAGCCGCGGUAAGACGUAGGGGGCCAGCGUUGUUCGGAAUUACUGGGUGUAAAGGGUUCGUAGGCGGUGCGGCAAGUUGGGAGUGAAAUCUCUGGGCUCAACCCAGAGGCUGCUUCCAAAACUGCUGUGCUCGAGUGUGAGAGAGGCUCGUGGAAUUGCAGGUGUAGCGGUGAAAUGCGUAGAUAUCUGCAGGAACACCCGUGGCGAAAGCGGCGAGCUGGAUCACUACUGACGCUGAGGAACGAAAGCUAGGGGAGCAAACAGGAUUAGAUACCCUAGUAGUCC
rnacentral:rRNA from 1 species